GAGGGAAACCCUACCUUUCGAAAUGGGGGAAUAACUCGCAGAAAUGCGAGCUAAUACCGCAUGUGGUUGCAGAGUGGCAUCACUUUGCACCUAAAGAUUUAUCGCUUGGAGACGGCCUCGCGGCCUAUUAGCUAGUUGGUGGGGUAAUGGCCUACCAAGGCGAUGAUGGGUAGCUGGUCUGAGAGGACGACCAGCCACACCGGAACUGAGACACGGUCCGG
rnacentral:rRNA from 1 species